rnacentral:rRNA from 1 species
GGGCGUAAAGAGCUCGUAGGCGGUUUGUCGCGUCUGCUGUGAAAACUGGAGGCUCAACCUCCCAGCCUGCAGUGGGUACGGGCAGACUAGAGUGCGGUAGGGGAGAUUGGAAUUCCUGGUGUAGCGGUGGAAUGCGCAGAUAUCAGGAGGAACACCGAUGGCGAAGGCAGAUCUCUGGGCCGUAACUGACGCUGAGGAGCGAAAGCAUGGGGAGCGAACAGGAUUAGAUACCCUGGUAGUCCAUGCCGUAAACGUUGGGAACUAGAUGUGGGGGCCAUUCCACGGUCUCCGUGUCGCAGCUAACGCAUUAAGUUCCCCGCCUGGGGAGUACGGCCGCAAGGCUAAAACUCAAAGGAAUUGACGGGGGCCCGCACAAGCGGCGGAGCAUGCGGAUUAAUUCGAUGCAACGCGAAGAACCUUACCAAGGCUUGACAUAUACGAGAACGGGCCAGAAAUGGUCAACUCUUUGGACACUCGUAAACAGGUGGUGCAUGGUUGUCGUCAGCUCGUGUCGUGAGAUGUUGGGUUAAGUCCCGCAACGAGCGCAACCCUCGUUCUAUGUUGCCAGCACGUUAUGGUGGGAACUCAUAGGAGACUGCCGGGGUCAACUCGGAGGAAGGUGGGGAUGACGUCAAAUCAUCAUGCCCCUUAUGUCUUGGGCUUCACGCAUGCUACAAUGGCCGGUACAAAGGGCUGCAAUACCGUAAGGUGGAGCGAAUCCCAAAAAGCCGGUCUCAGUUCGGAUUGAGGUCUGCAACUCGACCUCAUGAAGUCGGAGUCGCUAGUAAUCGCAGAUCAGCAACGCUGCGGUGAAUACGUUCCCGGGCCUUGUACACACCGCCCGUCAAGUCAUGAAAGUCGGUAACACCCAACGCCAGUGGCCUAACCCCUUGUGGGAGGGAGCUGUCU